UCCAGCAGCAGGUAGGCCUGCGCGGGGCGAGAGGGGCGCUGGGCACGGCGGGGCAGGGGGGGCAGCGGCACCGGGAGCGCCCCCCCACCCCCCCCCUGCCCCCCAGCAGCACACCCAGUGGGUGCCCGGGGUGCCGAGCACCCGGCAGCGCCCCUGCCCCUGCCCCUGCCUGUGCCUGUCCUGCCGGCGGCCUCCCGCGGCGCGCGGCCGGGCCGUACUCACCAUCUUGCCCCCAGUGGCCCUCAUGUGCUGCUGCUCUGCCAGCCAGUGCUUAUCCUGCGGGUCGGCUGCGUACUGCAAUAAAGCAGCGAGGGCCUGGCUGAGCGCGGGCGAUGCUCCCCCCCACCCAGCUCGGACCCCCCACCUCUUGCCGGGACGGAGCCCAGCCAGCGCUCGGGGGCUGGCGGAGGGGGGCACGGCCCUGCCUGGCCUCGCCCUGGCUGCGGGCGGUGGCCGUGUGGCCGUGUGCCCCGGCGGUGUGCCCUGAGACGAGACGGGGCCGUGGAGGAAUCGCCGAGCGAGAUAAAGCUCCCGGCUCCCAUCACCAACGGCUGCCGAGAGAACCCCGAGGAGGAAGCGUCCCGCCGCGGAGCCUGACCUUAAAGAGGUGGGGAUGCUUGAUGUAGAGCCGCCCUCUUGUUCCUCCCAUCCCGAGAGCUCUGAAAGAGGAACACGAGGGGGGCGUUAGAGCCGGGCGGAGGGGGGCUGCGCGGCACGGGGACACCUCCUCUCCUCCCCAGCCCUUCCUACUGCUUCCGAGGCAGAGAAGUGAAGUGACGGAGGAGUCUUACAGGCUCCUGCCUUGGAGACACCACCCUCCAUCAACAGGGCCGUUCCUUACUUGUUUGCUCGAGAUCCCAGCACAAAGGUUGUGGUUUCAGUCAGUCGGGAUGGAUCCCACUACAGAGCAAUUGGAAAAGGGGCAGCAUUAGAAAUGAAGCUGGUGCCGGCCAGUGCUCCACGAGCCUCGGCGCUCAGACGGGGAACCUCAGAACCGCCCCUCGGCUUGGGAGGGAGCCACAGACCUCUGGAUUGCCUCAGAGGAGGGAGCCUGCUGCUAUCACCCUGCGCUGAUCUAAGCGGUUUCCCCCAGGGGAAACACUUGUGGGAUCCUCCUGGCUACUGCUACGGCUCGCCUGGGUCUGCUAACAGCUGCACACACCACAGAGCUACGGGCUACAGUGUCUGGAGGAGGCAAGAAAGGCUCCCAGGCACUUCUCUUCUCACUUCUCUCCCGGCACUGCAGCAGCCCGGCAGGGCACAGCCCCGGGCCUGUCCUGAGCUGCCACCAGGCAGGGCUCUGCGGGAGGAAGCGAAGGGGAGGAGAGGGUGAGCCCAGCGGCGUCGGCCAGCCAGUACCUUUGGUCCAUCCCUUCUCACGGGCUCAGAGACUUUGAGCUUCCACCUACGGGGAAGGAAAACGAAUGCCCGCCUCCGGACCCUCACCUCUGCUGCACAAUCUCGGUCCCCCCUCUGCCCGUGACCCACCGGUCUCACAGCCCCCUGAACCACCCAUCUGGACCCGUCCCAAACUGCUUCCCGGCAGGGCAGGCCUCUGCCUCCUGCAGCUCUACCUCAGCCCCAACCUUGCCCUCUCACGCCUCCCGCACCUCCCCGUGGUGCCGGGCAGGAGCUCCGGGCAGAGUUUCCCUGCUCCCUGCCUCAGCCGGCCUCGCUCCCCCCCACCCCCUGCAGCUCGGGGCCGUACUCACGCAGCCAUGCCCGAGACCCCGCGAUCGUUCGACAGGCUCUGUCCUGGAGGCCGUCCCUUUCUCUGCAGGGAAUAAAGUCUCUCAUCAGCACGAGGGGAGAGAA